GAACAUUUAAAAUUUAAAUAUCACUUUAACUGUUAUCCACAGGUGUCCGUCAACGGUCCAAACGUAGUCCCGGAUGUGUUUUUAAUUACCUUCUAAAUCAAUGCGCGGUGACGCAACCUAUAUUUGAAGUUAAUUAUAACUCGUGGGAUUAUUUUUUAUUUCAUUCUAAACUCACUUCCAAUUUAAAACUAUGAAUAAAAAAGGUGCAAUUUAAACACUGCUGCCACAGGUGCGAUUGUGGCCGGAAACCCAUUCGGUUUGUUAGCACAGAGAGCGCUAACGAGCAGCUGUUUGUUAAAGUGGCUGCGGUUUCACAUCGCGUAUUCGGUUCUAAGAAGAUGAUGGUGGAGAGAUGAAGAGAUGAGGGGAGGGAGGACGGCAGAAGAGCGCAAUGCAAUGCCGCCGGGGAUCGAACAGUGACCCCAGUGAGAUCUAUUGUCCGCGGCUGGAAGGCCCCUCCGGCGCGCUUUUAUUUUCUGAAUCUGAGGAGAAGAUACCACAGACACCACUGUCCACACAGGCGCUGUCUACCGCUCCACUCCAAGGUCCCCUUCCGUUAAAGGCGCUGGCAACAAGAAGAGAGUGAUGUCAAGAGAAAGGUGAUUUUUGAAGCAACUGGAAAGUCAGGACUGGAUCCAAGUGCUGCACCAUGGACUAGAGUGGAGGGAAAAAAAAUCAGUCAGUGGGACAUCAAGACAACUGCCUGACAAAGACACUUCUAAAUCAAGACAAAGUUGGAGGAAACAAAAAAAUAUAAAUAUAUAUAUAUAUGUAUAGAUUCUUGUAUAGCAGCAUGGAUCAGUGUGUCCUGUUAAAUGUACGUUUCCUCCUCAAGAUCCAAUAGGAUCAUCAACAAAGAUGAUGGAGAGGCAGCUAUGGCGUUGUCGAUGUAAAUGUAAAUGUAUUUACCUCUCCACAGUAAAGCUACGGACCAAAGAGCUGGGUUUACCUCAGUGGCUUCAGCUUCGAUGAACAGCACCCAUUAUUAUCCCUACAUAAGUGUUUAAAAUGCAUGUAUGCACUUCAAAUGUUUAUUGAGUUACGAUUUAAACUUUAAUAAAAAAAGUAUGAA